UGCACUGUUGAAAGAAGGGCAACAACAAGGGUAUUUCGCCACGUGCUGUCUGCGUUCGCUGUGCGUUGCAGAAUCAGCGCAACUGUUUCCCGUGCCAGUGCAUCAUUCCGGACGAUCUAGAGAUCUGUUCAGGAUCCUCCAUCGUAAGGACGAUGAAGCUCACGGUGACCCUCAUCGCAUUUGCCAUUCUCGGUACGUUGAUUCAAGAAAGUACAACUAAGCCAGUUGACCACCUUUACAGAGCAGUGUCCGAGGAAACUCAGCGCACGGGCGUACGUACUGAAGAUGCCCAAGCCCGUUUGUCUGUGGCUUGUGUAAACAACCACUGCACAACCUCACAGAAUGGUAUAGCCUGCGUGAAUAACAAGUGCGUGACGUUCAAGAAAUAGGAUCGAGCAUUGGUGCAAAUGUAUUCACGACUGUGACAGAGACUCUGUUACUGCCGUUUCUUUUUGAAACCAGCAGCUGAAUUUCUGUAGAGCUGCUUCAAACGGCCAGGUCUUCAACGAUUUCGUUGACUGAGCUUUGCUGGUAGGAGUGAAAUAAAAUAAAUUGUUUUCUGUUUCCUUUUGAAGAAA